rnacentral:rRNA from 1 species
GAAUUCGCCCUUAGAGUUUGAUCCUGGCUCAGGACGAACGCUGGCGGCACGCUUAACACAUGCAAGUCGAACGAGAGAAGAGAAGCUUGCUUUUCUGAUCUAGUGGCGGACGGGUGAGUAACACGUGAGCAAUCUGCCUUUCAGAGGGGGAUACCGAUUGGAAACGAUCGUUAAUACCGCAUAAUAUAAUUGAACCGCAUGAUUUGAUUAUCAAAGAUUUAUCGCUGAAAGAUGAGCUCGCGUCUGAUUAGCUAGUUGGUAAGGUAACGGCUUACCAAGGCGACGAUCAGUAGCCGGACUGAGAGGUUGAUCGGCCACAUUGGGACUGAGACACGGCCCAGACUCCUACGGGAGGCAGCAGUGGGGAAUAUUGCACAAUGGAGGAAACUCUGAUGCAGCGAUGCCGCGUGAGGGAAGAAGGUUUUAGGAUUGUAAACCUCUGUCUUCAGGGACGAAAAAAGACGGUACCUGAGGAGGAAGCUCCGGCUAACUACGUGCCAGCAGCCGCGGUAAUACGUAGGGAGCGAGCGUUGUCCGGAAUUACUGGGUGUAAAGGGAGCGUAGGCGGGAUCGCAAGUCAGAUGUGAAAACUAUGGGCUUAACCCAUAAACUGCAUUUGAAACUGUGGUUCUUGAGUGAAGUAGAGGUAAGCGGAAUUCCUAGUGUAGCGGUGAAAUGCGUAGAUAUUAGGAGGAACAUCAGUGGCGAAGGCGGCUUACUGGGCUUUAACUGACGCUGAGGCUCGAAAGCGUGGGGAGCAAACAGGAUUAGAUACCCUGGUAGUCCACGCCGUAAAC